rnacentral:lncRNA from 1 species
UAUUAGAAUAAUAUGAAAUAAUUUAAAAUAAAUAUAUCGUUAGAGAUGUUUUAUUUGUCAUUUUAUUGCAUUAAAAACAAGUUGUAACGAGACACUGGGGUCUCCAAAAUUUACAACUAUUUGACCUUUAGCCAGCUGCUUGGUGAACUUUCGCGGGACGUCCUUACGUAAACAUCGAAGGGAAUCGGUUUGAGGGGAGGGUGUUCUAGUAAGGUGUGCAGUAGUUCCAGGAAUAAUCCCAAUAUGAACACGUGCUGUUUGGUCAUUACUACUAUUUCUCUGAGGGAGACCGACUUCCUUGUCCGAUUCAGGAUUAAUUCAGGAUUCGUACUUGCGUCCUUUUUGUCUAACCUGGGUUAACUCGGAAAAAAGUACUUAAAGGGUUUUUACUACGAUUCUCAAGUUCAGAUUAUUUUACUUGUGACUUAUACCUAAUUACCCUUUCACAAUUUCACAAUGGAAAAGAAAGUAUUUUCAAAUUCAAAGUCUGCAGUUUUUGAAUAUUAUAAACUUACUACGGAUGGAAAAUAUUAUCAGUGUAAAUGCAUUGUAGAAAAUGAUGAUGGCAAACAUGUAUGUGAAGCAAAAAUUAGCGCUUUUGCUAGUUCUGAAAAAAAAA